rnacentral:rRNA from 1 species
UGGGGAAUAUUGCACAAUGGGGGAAACCCUGAUGCAGCGACGCCGCGUGAGCGAAGAAGGCUUUCGAGUCGUAAAGCUCUGUCCUAUGAGAAGAUAAUGACGGUAUCAUAGGAGGAAGCCCUGGCUAAAUACGUGCCAGCAGCCGCGGUAAUACGUAUGGGGCGAGCGUUGUCCGGAAUUAUUGGGCGUAAAGCGAGCGCAGGCGGUUAGAAAAGUCUGAAGUGAAAGGCAGUGGCUCAACCAUUGUAGGCUUUGGAAACUGUUUAACUUGAGUGCAGAAGGGGAGAGUGGAAUUCCAUGUGUAGCGGUGAAAUGCGUAGAUAUAUGGAGGAACACCGGUGGCAAAAGCGGCUCUCUGGUCUGUAACUGACGCUGAGGCUCGAAAGCGUGGGGAGCGAACAGG